rnacentral:lncRNA from 1 species
GGAUAAAAGACUACACACUGGGUACAGUGUACACUGCUUAGGUGAUGUGUGCGCCAAAACCUCAGAAAUCACCACUAAAGAACUUACCAUGUAACCAAACAUUAUCCGUUCUCCAAUAACAGUUUUAGGUUUACUGAAAAAUUGCCAAGAUAGUAGAGUGAGUUCACAUAUAUCCUGUAGCCAGUUUCCUCUAUUAUUAACAUUAGCAUUGUUGGGGCUCAGAACAUAAUGUCCAGAAAUAGGGUAGUUUGAAAACUGAGAAGAUAGCAGAAGCAGGAGGGUCUCUUUGACCUUCUCUUGUGCCUUUCUCCCCUAAAGCAAGCCAUAAAAACUAGAAUUGCCUUCACCCUUUUUCUCCUCUGAAGCAGACCAUAAAAACUUGGAGGGUCACUCUCUGGCCUUUUCCCUCCUUUUCCCCCAGAAGGCUGUCAUGUAACAGCUGUCCUGCCCUGUAUCCCAGGGAAGAAAUAUCAAACAGGGAUGCCAAGAAGAAACUGAACAAACGAGCCUAAUUCCUCCCAGUUUGUUACCAUUCCAUCAUACCUUUUGUCUUCCAAUCAUACUUCAGACUAUCAUAAAAAUACACAGUUUUUCUGGGUCUUCUCGUUUCUGAAAGCUCUCAUGUCACAUAAAACUUAUACUAAAUAAUUUUGUUAUGCUUUUCUCUUGUUAAUCUGUCUUUUAUUAUAGAGGUCUCAGCCAUAAACCUUGCAAUGGGUGAGGAAAUCUGUUCUUCUCUACAUCUUGGUAUAUUUGUUAUAAUUCAGGAACCAAUAUUGAUACAUUAUUGUGAAUAAAAGUCCAUACUUUAUUCAGAUUUCUUCAGGUUUUACCUAAUGUCUUUUUCUGUUUCAGAACCCCAUCUAGGAUAUCAGAUUAUAUUUAGUCAUCAUGUUUCUUUCUUUCUUUCUUUUUUUUUUUUUUUUUU